UACGAAAGGGGCUAGCGUUGUUCGGAAUUACUGGGCGUAAAGCGCACGUAGGCGGCCUUGUAAGUUGGGGGUGAAAUCCCGGAGCUCAACUCCGGAACUGCCUCCAAAACUACAAAGCUCGAGGAUGUGAGAGGAGAGUGGAAUUCCGAGUGUAGAGGUGAAAUUCGUAGAUAUUCGGAAGAACACCAGUGGCGAAGGCGACUCUCUGGCACAUUUCUGACGCUGAGGUGCGAAAGCUAGGGGAGCGAACGGG
rnacentral:rRNA from 1 species